rnacentral:rRNA from 1 species
UACGUAGGCAGCAAGCGUUGUUCGGAGUUACUGGGCGUAAAGGGUGUGUAGGCGGUCUUCUAAGUCUGGUGUGAAAUCUCCCGGCUCAACUGGGAGGGUGCGCCGGAAACUGGGAGGCUAGAGUGCGGGAUGGGAGAGUGGAAUUCCUGGUGUAGCGGUGAAAUGCGUAGAUAUCAGGAGGAACACCUGUGGUGUAGACGGCUCUCUGGACCGCAACUGACGCUGAGACACGAAAGCGUGGGUAGCAAACAGG